UCUGGACAGGAAAACCUACUCUGCUUCU
rnacentral:piRNA from 1 species